GCCCUGCCGGUCCCUGCUUCCAGCUGAAGGACCUGCCCCUCCUGGGCGCUGCAGGGGCGUCUAGCAAAGACUCGCACAGCUUUCAGUCACACCCAGAGCGCUCAGACCCUGUUGGCCUCCCUACUCAUCGCGGGCGAAGCUAGAUCGAGGAUCAAAGUUGGGAGUGGAAUAUCAAAGUUUAAACUCAGGUCCUGCGUUGGGAAUGCGGCUGCCCCGCUGGCCAGCUCUGGAACUUGCAGAAGAUAGGCUGGCCCUUCUGAGCCUUUGUUUUUUGAAAAAUAGAGCCAGUAAUAACACUGAUAUUUUCUGUACUAGUUACUAUACUAUGGUAGUAUCAUCUUCGGACUGACUACUUCUGCACUGUAGUUAUGGUAUUGGUGUGUGUGUGUGUGUGUGUGUGUGUGUUGGGAAUUGAAUCCAGGACUUCUGCAUGCCAGGCAAGGGCUCUACUACUGAGCUACAUCCUCAGCCCUGAUGCUAUUUUCUGUCCCAAUAAUUUCUCCACUAAUAAGAGAUAUAACUAAAAGUCUGCACUACUAGUAAUUUA